rnacentral:lncRNA from 1 species
AGGAGCCGUCGUUCUUUUACAAAGAGGGGUGGAGGUUCCAGUGGAGGCUGUUGUUGCCUUUUUUUUUUUUUUUUUAAUGAAUGGAGGGCGGCGGCGACUGCUGCAGCUGGGCCAGCUGCGCGGGCUGCACCCCCUCCCAGCCUGCGAGAGGAGGAAGCUAGUAGAAGAUUUGUACCAACAAAACCAAGGAGUAAACAACUUGAGAAUAACUGCAUGAGCUCAGGGCUUGGACUGUCAGAUUCCAUUUCUAAGCUUCCAGAAGAGCGACACAUAGACACUGGGGAAGUCAGAGCCUUUGAACUCCAAUGCCAUCCCCGUCACCCACCUCCACCACCAGCACCACCACCGAAUGGCACUUUGGACAAUUUUUCCCUCUCAUGUGACUUUUGUCAUUUCUUACGUCAGUUGGAGCCAGCACCUCUCAAAUCCAUCUUCUAAAACCCAGAAAAUUGUGUGUAACACAUGAUGACUGAAAGGGAGUAGGCUGACCAGUUAAGAGCCUGCCACUGGAAUGGAAGGCUGUGGGAAGGUGAGGGGACGGUGGACAUCAACCGGGAAGAGCUGAAAGAUGGCGUUACCAGAGUGGACUACUACAUGGCCAGUAAAGAAAAGAACAAGGUGGGGCCGUGUGCGGUGGCUCAAGCCUGUAAUCCCAGCCCUUUGGGAGGCCGAGACGGCGGAUCACGAGAUCAGGAGAUGGAGACCAUCUUGGCUAACAUGGUGAAACCCCAUCUCUACUGAAAAUACAAAUUAGCCGGGUGUGGUGGCGGGCGCCUGUAGUCCCAGCUACUCGGGAGGCUGAGGCAGGAGAAGCGUGAACCCAGGAGGCGGAGGUUGCAGUGAGCCAAGAUGACACCACUGCACUCCAGCCUGGGUGACAGAGCGAGACUCCGUCUCAAAAAAAAAAAAAAAAAGAACAAGGUAGAUUAUAACAAUGGCCAACAUACAUAUAGCACUUACUGUGUACACACUAGUCUGAAAGUUCUAUGUAUUUUAGAAUAUCUGCACAUUUAUAAUAUUAACUCAUUUGAUUUUCUCAACAAUUAUCUGGUUACUAUUACUAGAAUUUUUUUAAAUCAGGAAAGAGAUGUUAAGUAACUUGUCUAAAGUCACAUAGCUGGCGAGUCGGGGAGCUGGGCUUCAAGUCAUCUGGCCUCAGGGUCUGGGUCAAUAACCACUACCCAAAUGCCUGUAUGUACAGGCAUGGAAAGAUGCUUUUGACAUAUGAUUAAGUGGAAAAUUCAAGUAGCAGAGAAGUAGGAGCUUAUCUUUUUCAGGUAAAAAGAAGCUGCAUGUGUGCAUGCCUACGUGAAUAUAUUUUAUAUAUUUGUAAUAGUAAAGGUUCUGGAAAAAUACGUGUUCAAUCAGCAAUUCUCAACCAGGAAGGGAGGCUUGAGCCCAGGAGUUCCAGACCAGCCUGGGCAACAUAUUAAGACCCCAUCUAUAAAAGAAAAAAAUUUUUGGCUGGGCGCAGUGCCUCACACCUGUAAUCCCAGCACUUUGGGAGGCCGAGGCGGGCAGAUCAUGAGGUCAGGAGAUCGAGACCAUCCUGGCUAACACGGUGAAACCCUGUCUCUACUAAAAAUACAAAAAAUUAGCCAGGCUUGGUGGUGGGCACUUGUAGUCCCAGCUACUCGGGAGGCUGAGGCAGGACAAUGGCGUGAACCCGGGAGGCGGAGCUUGCAGUGAGCUGAGCUUGUGCCACUGCACUCCAGUCUGGGUGACAGAGCGAGACUCCAUCUCAAAAAAAAAAAUAAUAAUAAUAAAUAAUAAAUAAAAUAAGUGCAGUGGCACAAUCUUGGCUCGCUGCAACCUCCAUCUCUGGGGCUCAAGCAAUCCUCUCAUCCCAGUCUCCUGAAUAACUGGGACUGCAGGUGCAAGCCACCACCCCUAGCUAGUUUUCAUAUUUUUGGUAGAGACGGGCUUUUGCCAUGUUGCUCAGGCUGGCCUCGAACUCCUGGGCUCAAAGUGAUCUACCUGCCUCAGCCUACCAAAAUGCUGGGAUUACAGGUGUGGGCUACUGCUUCCCGCCAAAUUUCUUUUUUUUUUUUUUUGAGAUGGAGUCUCGCUGUGUCACCAGGCUGCAGUGGUGUGAUCUUGACUCACCAAAACGUCCGCCUCCGAGGUUUAAGCGAUUCUCCUGCCUCAGCCUCUCAAGUAGCUGGGAUUACAGGCAUGCGCCACCACACCCUGCUAAUUUUGUAUUUUUAGUAGGGACGGGGUUUCACCAUGUUGGUCAGGCUGGUCUCGAACUUCUGACCUCAUGUGAUCUGCCCGCCUUGGCCUCCCAAAGUGCUGGGAUUACAGGGGUGAGCAAUCAUGCCCAACCAUUUGGUUUUCUUUUCUAAAUGGUCCUUUCAAAAGAAGACUUCCUGUUAAUCGUGGGCUCAGAGUGACACUUUUGAUUAACACCAAAGUAAGAGAUGUGGAGCCAAGCCUAAUAAGUCUUGCAAUAAAUUGGAUGAAGGUAGACCAAUUAAUUGUUGUUCUGAUUGGCUGAAGGGAUCCUGAGAUAAUGACUCUUGUCCUCAUUACCCUCUAGUCUUGCCUUCUCCUGGAAGCUUUGGCCCAGAUGUUGGAAGAGUAAUGUUGAUUUUCUUGACAUACAGCCCCUCCACAUUCCAUCUUCACUCCCAUGCCCCCCUGCAUUUAAUGUGUUCAUUUAAUGCAUUAUUGCACCUCAUGUAAAUACCCCUGGUACUUUACUUGGGCUGUUGUUUAAACCACUGUCCCUUCAGGGUCAUCCAGUAAAAACCGGACUCAGGCUGCCUUCCAUUUGCAGGCACUUUACAAUCUCCUAAUCUUGUUCCCAUUCAUUAUUUUGGUUAACGGGGUGGAGCCUUGUCACUUUAAUGCAGGUUGUGCAAUAUCUCUUUCAAAGUAAAACUAAGCAGGGUCUUAGGAGAGGGUCUGAUGAGGACAAUGAGGGUUAUCAAAAUUUUAAUCCCCAUUUUUAAACCCCAGUGUUUAAACCUUGCUUUGUGAAGUGUAACCUAUCACAGUGAAUAUAGAAAAAUGACAUAACAGCUUCUACUUACUGUGUCAGGUCAAAAAGCACCCAAAGUUUCCAUGUGUUUUCUCAGUUUUGUUCUUGCAGCAAGUUUAGGGGGUACUUUUUUUUUAAAUCUCCCAUUAUCUCCAUAAGGAAGCCGAGGCUCCAGGAGACUAGGUAAUGUCCUCAACAAUACACGUGUGGAAAGUGGAAAAUGGAUUUCUCAACCAGGUUUGUGUAUCUGUCUGCAAUUCCCAGUGCUGAGCCUCUCAAUGGAUGAAAUAAUUGAGAAAAGAAAAAAAGUGUAACUCAAAAACCACCCCCCUAAUAGAUAGUAGUACUCAUAUACCAUCUCCCUAACAUACUGUUAGCAAUUUAGGUUUAUUUCCUUUGUGUUAUGUAUCUAAACAAAAUGAAAUUUAAAAAAACAACUUGGUAACUAGAGGAUAUGUAAAAUGUUUAUAUCCUGUUUUGAUUUUUUUUUGUCCUACUAACAUUGUCAUCGUAACCAUCUUCCUUAUUGCUUCGUGUCAUCAUUUUAAAUGGUUGCACUCUAUUUAGAGAGUGGUGGCCUUGGGGGAGAGAUUCCUAGAUGUGGAAAUUGGUAGGUCCAAGAGUAUAAAUGUUUUUAUGGUUUUUGAUACACAUUGCUAAAUUGCUUUCUAAAAGAUCUAUUUUAAUUUGCACUUCAAUCAACAAUUUUGAGAGUGUCAUUUUCAUCACAUUCUUGCUGGCAUUAGUUAUUGUUAGAAAACGAAACCAAGGCCGGGUGUGGUGGCUCACGCCCGUAAUCCCAGCACUUUGGGAGGCCAAGGUAGGUGGAUCACGAGGUCUCAAGAUCGAGACCAUCCUGGCCAACAUGGUGAAACCCCGUCUGUACUAAAAAUACAAAGAAAAUUAGCCAGGCGUGGUGGUGUGCCUGUAGUCCCAGCUCCUCGGGAGGCUGAGGCAGGAGGAUGGGUUAAACCCGGGAGGCAUAAAUUGCAGUGAGCUGAGAUGGCGCCACCACACUCCAGCCUGGGCGACAGAGCAAGACUCCGUCUUAAAAAAAAAAGAAAAAGAAAACAAGGCCAGGCAUGGUGGCUCUGGCCUGUAAUCUCAGCUCUUUGGGAAGCCAAGGUGGGUAGAUCACUUGAGCUCAGCAGUUCGAGACCAGCCUGGGCAACAUGGUAAAACCCUGUCUCUACAAAAAAAUACAAAAAUUAGCCAGACAUGGUGGCACGUGCUUAUAGGCCCAAUUACUCUGGAGGGCUGAGGUGAGAGGAUCAUUUGAGCCUGGGAGGUGGAGACUGCAGUGAGCCACGAUCACACCACUGCACUCCAGCCUGGGCAACAGAGCAAGACCAUGUCUCAAAAAGAAAAUGAAAACAAGAAAAAGUCCUAAUAUCUACCAAAUUGUUCACAGUAGUUAGUGUCGAGAGUGGGCUGGGGCUGGUGAAGUGAGGAGGUGUCUAUUUUCUUUUCUUUUCUUUUUUUUUUUUUUUUUUUUUGAGACAGAGUCUUACUCUGUCACCCGGGCUGGAGUGCAGUGGCAUGAUCUCCGCUCACUGCACCCUCCACCUCCAAGGUUCAAGUGAUUCUCCUGCCUCAGCCUCCCGAGUAUGUGGGAUUACAGGUGCGUGCUACCACGCCCAGCUAAUUUUUGUAUUUUUUUAGUAGAGACAGGGUUUCACCAUGUUGGCCAGGAUGGUCUGGAUCUCCUGACCUCGUGAUAUGCCCGCCUUGGCCUCCCAAAGUGCUGGGAUUAUAGGUGUGAGCCACCGUGCCCAGCCAGGUGUCUAUUUUCUCCUGUAUCUAAUGUGGUAUUAUUAAAAAUAUUUUAUUAUAGGCACAUAUUACUUUUGUGUUUUUUAUAUAUAUACGUAUAUAUAUACACUUUUUUUUUUUUUUUGAGACGGAGUCUCGCUCUGUCGCCCAGGCUGGAGUGCAGUGGCGCCAUCUCGGCUCACUGCAAGCUCCGCCUCCUGGGUUCACGCCAUUCUCCUGCCUCAGCCUCCUGAGUAGCUGGGACUACAGGCGCCUGCCACCACGCCCGGCUAAUUUUUUGUAUUUUUAGUAGAGAUGGGGUUUCACCAUGUUAGCCAGGAUGGUCUCGAUCUCCUGACCUCGUGAUCCACCCGUCUCGGCCUCCCAAAGUGCUGGGAUUACAGGCAUGAGACACCGUGCCCGGCCUGUCAUAUAUAUUUUAAACUUUAUUUUGAAAUAAUUUGUCUCAUAGAAAAGUUGCAAAAAUAAUGCAAAGAAUUCCCUGUAUACCCUUUGUAACACAUAUUUUUUUGUUUUGUUUUGUUUGUUUGUUGAGAUGGAGUCUUGCUCUGUCACCAGGCUGGAGUACAGCGGCGCCAUCUCGGCUCACUGCAACCUCUGCCUCCUGGGUUCAAGUGAUCCUCCUGCCUCACCCUCCCAAGUAGCUGGGACUACAUGCCCGCGCCACCAUGCCUAGCUAAUUUUUUGUAUUUUUAGUAGAGACGGGGUUUCACCAUGUUGGCCAGGAUGGUCUUGAUCUCUUGACCUCGUGAUCUGUCCACUUCAGCCUCCCAAAGUGCUGGGAUUACAGGAGUGAGCCACCGCACCCAGGCUGUGAUACAUAUGUUUUUUUGAGAUGGAGUCUCGCUCUGUCGCCCAGGCUGGAGUGCAGUGGCGCAAUCUCUGCUCACUGCAAGCUCCACCUCCCGGGUUCACGCCAUUCUCGUCCCUCAGCCUCUGGAGUAGCUGGGACUACAAGUGCCCACCACCACGCCCAGCUAAUUUUUUGUAUUUUUAGUAGAGACAGGGUUUCACCGUGUUAGCCAGGAUGGUCUCGAUUUCCUGACCUCGUGAUCCACCCGCCUCGCCUCCCAAAGUGCUGGGAUUACAGGCGUGAGCCACCAUGCCCAGCCACUUAUUUUUAAAUAUAAAGUAAUUAAAAUAAAUGUUUUCUAAAUGUCAGUCCUUACAUCAACUUGUAAGUUGAGAUUUCUUCAUAGGUAGGCUAGGGCUCAACAGCAACUUGGGGAAAUGCUUAUUAAAAAUGUAAACUCUUAGGCCUGAGCAAGACAUCGAAUCAGAAUGUUUGGGGGUGAGCUUGGAAAAUCUUUCAGUAGCCCUUCUCCUGCCCUCUGAGGCCCAUCAGGGGCUGAGAACCAGUGUCAGACAGGUUCCUCUUUAUUUCCUCCAGCAAUAUUGUGGCUUCUUCACCUUGAGAGCCCUCCAGUGUGCAAGGGUUUGGAAAAGUGAGUGAAAUCUGAGCAUCUUUGUUGUGACUUUUCCCACUUGGUGCUGCUACUGCUCUGCUCCAGCCAAGCUGUCUGUAAUUUGUUUUCACAAGAGCCUGCUCUCUCCCUCAAACUAGAAAAGACCCCUCCACAGGAGGCCAGGUCCGGAACGCAGGUUUAGGUGGUGUAGGCCCUUCUCACCCUCACCCCUUCUGUCCUGAGUGUUCCAGGUGGAUGCCAAGGAGGUGGAGGAGGCUUCCCUGUCUCCUGGCUCUCCUGGAGGAGCAACUGUGAGGCCCCGAGAUGGGGAGGGAGCCCAGAUUCUGGCUUUUGGUCUUCCUGCUGUUUCUUUUGUCUGAUGCUGGUGCAUUUCCAUGGACAGUUUAUUUCCCUUGGACACUGUGGGCUUGGUUUUUCCAUGAGUGUGUGACGCUGUGGUCAUUCACCAGGCCCUGUUGGUGGUCUCGGUGGGGGCCACAAGGCUCAGAUCUCACCUGCCCCUUUUCCUACCUCCUCCACUCUUUGCUCAGCCAUCAACAUUCCUUUCUGUCCCAGAAGUGUUCUUUCCAAAAUGCAGAUCUGCCCAUGUCCCCUAAUGACGUCACUUAUUGACUUCGCUAUGGAAAAGGAGCGAUGGGGAAUGUGGCCGGAAGGACAGCAGAGAGCCAGACUGUGGAGACCUUUGAAUUCCAGAGGAACAAAAGUAUUUUGGGUGGCUCACACCUGUAAUCCCAGCACUUUGGGAGACCAAGGCGGGCAGAUCACCUGAGGUCAGGAGCUUGAGACCAGCCUGACCAACAUGGUAGAACCCCAUCUCUAUUAAAAAUACAAAAUUAGCCAGGCAGGGUGGGGGGUGCCUAUAAUCCCAGCUGCUUGGAGGCUGAGGCAGGAGAAUCGCUUGAACCCGGGAGGCAGAGGUUGCAGUGAGCCAAGAUUGCACCAGUGCACUCCAGCCUGGGCAACAGAGUGAGACUUGGUCUCAAAAAAAAAAAAAAAAAAAAAAAGACCGGGCGCAGUGGUGGCUCACGCCUGUAAUCCCAGCACUUUGGGAGGCCGAGGCAGGCGGAUCACGAGGUCAGGAGAUCAAGACCAUCCUGGCUAACACGGUGAAACCCCGGCUCUACUAAAAAUACAAAAAAUUAGCUGGGCGUGGUGGCGGGUGCCUGUAGUCCCAGCUACUUGGGAGGCUGAGGCAGGAGAAUGGUGUGAACCCGGAAGGCAGAGGUUGCAGUGAGUCCACAUCAUGCCACAGCACUCCAGCCUGGGCGACAGAGCAAGACUCCGUCUCAAAAAAAAAAAGUGUCUUAUAUAAAAAUAUAUACAUAAAAUAUAAAAAUAGGCGGGGCACAGUGUCUCACACCUGUAAUCCUAGCACUUUGGGAGGCCAAGGCGGGCAGAUUGCCUGAGCUCAGGAGUUUGAGACCAGCCUGGGCAACACAAUGAAACCCCAUCUCUACUAAAAUACGAAAAAUCAUCCGGGCAUGGCGGCGGGCGCCUGUAGUCCCAGCUACUCAGGAGGCUGAGGCAGGAGAAUCGCUUGAACCUGGGAGGCAGAAGUUGCAGUGAGCCGAGAUCGCGCUACUGCACUCCAGCUUGGGUGACAGGGCGAGACUCCGUCUCCAAAAAAAAAAAUAUGUAUACACACACACACACACACACACACAAUAUACAAAAAAUAUACUGUUUUAUGUAUAAACAUACAUAAAAUAUACAUAUACAUGAAAACAUACAUAUCAAUAUACAUAAGUAUAUUAUGGACUAAUACAGGCAAUUUGGAAAAAAAGAAAGUAGAAAGUAGGGGGAAAAAAGUUGCUAGUCGUUCUGCUAGCCAAGUAAAGCUGCUGGCUGCAUUUGGGUGUGGUCGUGUGCAGGAUAAGGGCACAGGCCCUGAAUCAGGUGAGUCUGGGUUCAGAUGCCUUCCUUCUUCCUUAUUAGCUGUAGGCAACCAUCGGGCAGCUUAAUUAUCCUCUGGGUGCUUCAGUUUUCUCAUUGGUGAAGUAAGGAUAAAAAAAAGUUCCUAAUGUGUAGGCUUGCCUUGAAGAUGAAAUGAGGUAAGUAUGGAAAGCAGUUAGCUGGCUGCUUCCUAAGUGUUAGUUCUGUUUAAUCUUGUUCAUUUCCUUUCAGUCCUUUUACUCUAAAGAGGGGUGUGUGUGUUUGGUUUGUUUUCACAUAGUUGUGAUCACAUUGUCUAUAUAAUUUUAUUUACUGCUUGCUUAGCAUAACAUCUGUAGCCAAGCAUUUUCCAUGUUAUUUUCAACUCCUCAUAAACAUGCAUCUUAAUAGUUGCAUAAUAAUCCGAUGGAUGGAUAUAUCAUAGUUUAACCAUUUCCUUAUUGUUGGCCAUAGGAAUUGUUCCAGGUUUUCAUUGUUACAGAAAACUCAAGGCAUGACUGGGCAUGGUGGCUCACGCCUGUAGUCCCAGCGCUUUGGGAGGCCAAGGCGGGUAGAUCACUUGAGUAGAUCAGGAGUUUGAGACCAGCCUGGUAAACAUGGCAAAACCCUGCCCCGUCUCUACUAAAAAUACAAAAAUUAGCCAGGCCUGGUUGCAGGUGCCUGUAAUCCCAGCUACACAGGAGGCUGAGACAGGAGAAUCGCUUGGACCUGGGAAGCGGAGGUUGCAGUGAACCAAGAUCAAGCCACUGCACUCCAGCCUGGGCGACAGAGUGAAACUCCAUCUCAAAAAAAGAAAACUAUAGGCAUGAACACCUUUAUGUGUCAGAUAUCACCAGCAAAACCAGCCCCACUUUUCCCAGCCUGUUAGAACAAGUUCCUUGAGAAAAAUUCUUAGAAAGGAUGUUACAAAGUCAAAUUAUAUGAAUAUUUAUCAAGAUUUGUGACUUAUCCUGCCAAAUUCAUUCCUGUAAAGUGAGUUCCCACUUCUAUUUCCAAGACAGUGGAUGAGACUGUGGCUGAGGGAUGUGGAUUUUGUUCUGCAGUGCUGCUGGUGAGGGCAUGAGACCAGGGUUUUGAUGGAUUCAUCCAGCAGCCAUUGGGUGGGUGGCUGGGCAGAGUCGGCGUUAGGAGGCUCUCAGCGGUGACUUAACUAUCUGCAAACCUGGCCCCAUCCCCAUGAUGACUAGAGCUCCCAUCCGUAGGAGAGGGAGGCCCUGUGGUCACAGUGUCACAUUCCUUUUCAGUCCAGCAUAAGCACUUUCACAUUGUUUUUUCCCUCCGUGAUUCAAAUGACAAGAACUCUUCAUCUUUAGGGAUCACAGUAUAAGACAGUGAAUAAGUUCAUGAGCCUUGGUGUUAUCCUGCCUGGAUUGGGAUCUCAACUCUACUAUUUAUUAGCUGUGUGAUUCUGGACCUCAGUUUCUCAAUCUGAGACAUGGUACUCACCUCCUAGGAUUAAAUUAAACAGGUAUUUUAUACACAACAUAAUAAGUGCUGAAUGCUUCUUAGAUCUUCUUAUCUAUCUCCCUCUUUCUAAAUGAAAGCGCCUGGUUGAAAGAAACUAAUUGAACCUCUGUAUUCACCACUUUCCUCCUCUUGAAAAUGCAACAAGGGAAGCUGUAUAAAGAAACAAUACUGGGCCAGGCGCGGUGGCUCACGCCUGUAAUCCCAGCAUUUUGGGAGGCCAAGGCGGGUGGAUCACCUGAGGUCAGGAGUUCAAGACCAGCCUGACCAACAUGGCAAAACCUCAUCUCUACUAAAAAUACAAAAUUAGCCAGGGGUGGUGGCACAUGCCUGUAAUCCCAGCUACUGGGGAAGCUGAAGCAGGAGAAUUGCUUGAACCCAGGAGGCAGAAGUUGCAGUGAGCCGAGAUCGCGUCAUCGCAUUCCAGCCUGGGCAACAAAGAGCGAAACUCCAUCUCAAAAAAAAAAAAAAAAGGAAAAAGAAACAAUACCAGAAAGCCCAUCUCUACAUUGCUAGGCAACCUUUCCAAGGUGUGUACCCACCCUGAAACCAUGGGGAUGAAGGGAAGGAGGUUGGGAGGCUACAGUGGUGCAUGACCAAUCAUCUCGGGACAUGGUACUGUCAGUGCUAAGACUGGGACAGUCCCUGGCAAACCAGGAGUGUUAGUCACCCUGGCAUGGUGAGAGUGGGUGAAGGAUCUGGUAAAGUUGUCCAAGGGUGGGAGAACAAGACUCUGGAGCAUUUGAGAAGGGUUUGCUUUUCCUUUAAUUAUUGUUUGGCAAAUCCCCUUGAAGCUCAUUUCACCUGCAACUUCUGGGAAUGAAUUGGCUGCCAAAAAUAAGACCCACGUGGGGUGGGGGCAGGGGGGUAAUUAAGUGCCUCCCAGGAAGCAGGGGCAAGGAUACUUCAAUAUCUUCCAGAUUCCUAGAGUGUGAAUGAUGUGAGCUUGCCUUGGGGUGAAGGCUGCUGGAGUCAGCUCUUUCCGAUCCUGGCUAGUUUUCUGCUCCUAAUAAAGGCUUCUUUCAUGGCUGGGCAAGAGGAAGACUCAGAUGGCCCUCCGUGGACAAGGGUUGGUUCCCGAAUCUGUCCCAGGUAACUUCUUGUUCCUCUGGGUCUCUGUGUGUAAUAUCCCCAGAGACAGAGGCCAAGAGAGGGGAAAGUGACUACACUUACACUGCAGGCCAGCGGAGGGGGUGGUCAAUAGCUGGUACUUCCUCUUCCAGCUCUUUUAAAGCAUUUUAAAAUUGGAUUAGUGUUUCAACAAACACUUGAAGGUUUGCUUUCCUCGGAGAGGCCCGAAGGGCUGAGGAAGAGCCUUCAUCUGUUUACUUUUUCUUUAUGUGGAAAUCUACUUGGGCUGUUUCUACAACUAGCUUGCCCCUCUCCCUUGGUGCCCCCUCCACCAGGUAAACCUCACCCCCUAACUUCCAGGCAGGUCUGCAUUCACCCUCAGGGCCCUGGCCCACCAUGGCUUUCUGGGUUGGCUGAAUCCUCGUGCCCUCCAGGAGCACUUUGGAGCAGCAGGGCUCAGGCAGCUCUCUCUGACCUGUGCCAGCCUUGAAAGUUUUCCUGGAAUGAAGAAGUGAGCUGACAGUGGACAGUCCUGUGUACUUCAUCUGCUUCUUGCAGGGAAACCAACAGAAGCGGUCUCUUUCCUCCUGUGGGUAGAGAAAGCCAGGAAGAUGGGGCAAAGCCUUGGGAAAACAGGUGGCUCUCAGCCCCACCAGAGCUCUUUGUCCUCAUCCUUUUUAUUUAAGCCCCUGCUUGGAGCCAGGCAGUGUGUGUGUGUGAGAGAGUUGUGCAAACAGAUAUGUGCAUGGAUGUAUGUACAGAGGAAAAAAAGACUGGGGCAGGGCAUUGUGGAGCUCUGAAAGGGAAGGAGGGCAGGCGGUCAAAGUAGACUUCUAUGUUUUAUUCUGUGUAUUAGUAUAUUAUAUAUGAACACAUUUAAAGUACAUAUUGAAUAAUAAGAGAAUUAUCCUCUGAGAUCCAUGUGAUCACUGUUAACUGAAGUACAGGGUCAAGCCUUGGAAGAUUCAGGAAUGACUUCCCAGAGGAGGUGGCGGGCAAACAGAGAUCACAGGAUAAGUGGAGGUAGCUGGAUUCAUUUUAUAGACAUUUGUUGAGUGUCUGUUGUGUGUCAGAUACUAUUUUUUUUUUUAUUUUUUUUGAGAUGGAGUCUCGCUCUGUCUCCCAGGCUGGAGUGCAGUGGCAUGAUCUUGGCUCACUGCAACUGCCGCCUCCCGGGUUCAACUGAGGCAGGAGUGCCUCAGCCUCCCGAGUAGCUGGAACUACAGGUGUGUACCACCACGCCCAGCUAAUUUUUGUAUUUUUAGUAGAGACGGGGUUUCACUGUACUGGUCAGACUGGUCUUGAACUGACCUUGUGAUCUGCCUGCCUCGGCCUCCCAAAGUGCUGGGAUUACAGGCGUGAGCCACUAUGCCCAGCCCCAGAUACUAUUUUAGAAGCAAAGGAUCUAGCAGAGAAUAAACACAUAAAGAUCUUGCCAUUGUGGAACUUACAGUCCAGUGGAGGGAGAAAGAUGAACAAAAAGAUCAUAUGAUGUCAGGUGGUAUUAAAGAAGAAUUAACACUUAUGGUAAGGAAGACUUUAUUCAAGACUAUUGCAACAGGAGUUGACUUUUUUUCUUUUUUUUUUCUUUGAGAUGGAGUCUCUGUCACCCAGGCUGGAGUGCAGUGGUGCGAUCUCGGCUCACUGCACCCUCUGCCUCCCAGGUUCAACCGAUUCUCCUGCCUCAGCCUCCUGAGUUGCUGGGAUUACAGGCACAUACCACCACACCUGGCUAAUUUUUGUAUUUUUAGUAGAGAUAGGGUUUCACCAUGGUGGUCAGGCUGGUCUUGAACUCCUGACUGACCUCAGGUCAUCCACCCUCCUCAUCCUCCCAAAGUGCUGAGAUUACAGGCAUGAGCCAUUGCACCCGGCCUAGGAGUUAACUUUUGCAAUAGAGGAAGGAGGUUGAGUUCAUCACUGAAUCCAGCAAAGACCUAGUUGGGCAUUUAUAAUCAGAGUGAGGGGGUCAUUGGGUGGAAAAUCACUAAGAGAAGACACGAAGGGUAGGGGAACUCUUGCUAAACCAACUCAACAGGAUUCUGUGGAAGGCAGGCCAAGGACUUACACAUUAAAAGUGGGGGAUGAGGAACUUGGUCAGAUAUUGAGGGUGGGGGAAUGACUCAGCUGAAUUAUUUGCUAAAGGCAGGCCACAUGAAGAAGAGGAUCUAGAGGAGCCUGUCUAAAGUUUGGUCAAGGAGAGAGUCUUUGUUGGUGCUGUGAAGCAAAUGAAGCAGCUGUGGGAUAGUGAGGCUACAGAGUGACAGGUUAGGCCCUUUUUUUGUUUUUGAGAUGGGUGUCUUCUUCUGUUGCCUGAGCUGUGGUGCAAUGGCUUGAUCAUAGCUCACUGCAGCCUCGAACUCCUGGGCCCAAGCAAUCCUCCUGCUUCAGCCUCCUUACUAGCAGGGACAACAGGCACCUGUCAUUGUGUUUGGCUCAUAGGGGUGCUUUUUAAAUUUAAUUUAGUUUUAUUUUUGAGGUGAAGUGUUCACUGUGUAGCGACACGAUCUCGGCCCACUGCAAUCUCCGUCUCCCAGGUUCAAUCAAUUCUCCUGCCUCAGCAUUCUGAGUAGCUGGGAUUACAGCCGUCCUCCACCACGCCUCACUAAUUUUUGUAUUUUUAAUAGAGACAGGGUUUCACUAUGUUGGCCAGGCUGGUCUUGAACUCCUGACCUCAAGUGAUCCACCCGCCUUGGCCUCCCAAAGUGUUGGGAUUACAGGCGUGAGCCACCGCACCCGGCCUGCAGUGCUUUUUAAUACUCAGUGUUAGCAAGGUCUUUAGGGCUGAAAUCUGGAUCAUGUGUCAGAGCCAGACUUUCAAAUGGCCCCCCUAGAGGGUGUGUUCUGGGUAAAGGAAACAGCCUGUACAAAGGCCCUGAGGGGUGUGUUCAGUGUGUUUGAGCAACAGUGAGGAGGAGGGGGUUUGUAGGGGAAGAGUGAUAGGAAAUAAGGUUGAAGAGGGUGGGGUGAGAGUAGAUCAUGCAGGCCUUAUAGGAUGUGAUAAAAAAGGAUGAGAAAGAAAGCUGGGAGGAAGGAUAAUUUGGAUUUAGGGUAAGGGACAGCGUUGCUCAUCUACAGGACCACAAGGGGUUCUGUGCUGCAGGGGCAUAAGAAGGAGCAUGUGCCAUGUGGGGAAUGCAGGGAAGCAGGGCAGAGGGACGUAGGAGAGGAAGAUUAAGAGCCAAGGGGGAGGGGCAGGCAGGCAGGUCCUUUUCCAUCUUUUCAGUCAGGGUUUCUCAAUCAUUUUAAUGAGAGCCUCAGCCCUUGCGUAAAAAUCAAGCAAUAAAGGGAGGAAUGCCUCUCUGUUUAACUUGAAGGAGAGCUACAGAAGAUGGAAAAGAGGGUUAGUUGAAAUAAAGUUGGAGCUGAUCUCGCUUGGCUGGCUGCCCUUUCUAUAAAUAUCGCCCUCCCAGUCCUGGAAAUGCAGCAGUUAGGGUCCUUGUGAGCUACUGAGGAACAUCCUUCCUGUUCAAAUGCCCAGGACUUGGCUGCCUGUGCACUUCCAUAUGCAAAGUGCCUAGAAGCUGGGGAGAGGGAGAGUGCAGGGUCAAAAGUGGGGAAUUCUGAGCCCACUCCUUUUACCCCCUGGGGGUGGCCUCACUUCCUCUGGGGGCUCUGACAGCUCUCUGGCCUGUCUUCAGCUUAGAAAUCUGCAAAAGUCAUUGGCCAGGCUCAGGAGAACUAAUCCUUUGUGCCAGAGGUAUGGUGGUAUGGUGGGGAGCUAGCUCCUCGCUGGUGCUGAGCCCUGCUGCCCCUGGGGUUUUACUGGGAGAGAGGGAGAGGGUGGAGGGGCUAGUGUAAUUCGGCAAUUUGUGAGUUAAAAAGCAGAUGAGAACCCACAGAGUAACGAGACAUUCUUCUCUUUGCAUGCAAGAUUCUGCUGAAUGUUGGAAGAGGAAGGAAUAUUUUUCUUGCUUUUCAGACAUGACAUCCUGUGAGGGGAAGAUUUGGAACAGAUGGGGGCCAGGGGAGCCUCACUGUAUUUGCUUGUUUCACCACCACCUCCUCCCUCCCACAACCAGAAAUGUCUUUUUCUUCCCGCCUAGGGAAGUUAAUGUAAAGGCAGGUAGGGGGGAUGUCCUGUAGAUUAGGAAAGUAAGUUAUCAGGGGUCAGGGAAAAAUAAUCCAUUAGGUUUCCAGAAAGAAUCCACUUUUCAUUGCAGUCUCCUUCUAGGUCCAAAGAUAGACAACUAACUCAAAAUUGUAUCUUCGCUUUAAUCACUGCUCUGGUGAUAUUUGCAUUAAUGAAAGAGAAAAGAAAGCAUCCCCAACAGAUGGAAAAGGCGGCUCUCUGACUAGUGAAAGGUAAGGAAUUUUUCUGAAAUCUUGGGUGCACAAUGUGGGAAAAACAAAAUUGGUAAUGUCUCAUGGGAUCAGCGCAGGCAUCUGCACAGUUUUCACUCCGACUUCUGUCUGUCAGAUUGACUGCAUUAGAGAAGACCGUAAAUGUGGUGAUGGAAGUGGGCUGUGACACACUUGACUGGCUGUAGCAGUGUUCCUGGUAGAGCCACAUUCCCAGCACAGCUGUGGGUAGCUGGGCAGCUAGUAUGAUGUUAGUCCCCAAAUCACAGCCGAUUCUUUCUGCUGUCAAAUAUACAGCCCCUGAGCCCCCUUCCCCUGAACCUGGAAGGGGGUUCUGCUGGUGAAGUCAGAUGGCCUUGUUAGCCAGGGUGGGCCAGUCUAACUGCCUGUUGCAUCUUGUCUGUUCCCCAAAGACAGCUUGGCUUGAUGUGAUGUGAAAAGGAUGGGGCAGAAGGAGAAGGGGACAGAUUCUGUGCUUUCCUUCUGUCGUUCUUUUUUGGCUGGUGGGAGCCUGUGUUGUUUUUCUCUUCCUUCGUAGGAGGGGAUUUUGAGUUCUGGGGUCUGGCUGAGGAGACACGUGCCAGAGUGUCUGGCCCUUUUGGGUCAGGCUGCCUGACUCUGGCACACAGUUCUGGAAGGAUGUCCUGGAGAGCUGGUUUACUGAGGCAACAGCUGCAAGCUAACUAGGGAAAGAGAAGAGGAAAGUACUAGGUUGCUGUGUGCUCAGGAUCCCCGGUUGAGAUAUGGAGAAUUAUGUCUGGGGAACAAAACCUAACAGGCUGUCCUCAUCACAUGAGAUAUGUUCCCAGGCUGGAGUGCAGUGGCGUGAUCUUGGCUCACUGCAGCCUCUACUUCCUGGGCUCAGGAGAUCCUCCCACCUCAGCCUCCCAAGUAACUGGGACUACAGGCACGUGGCACACCCCAUGCUUGGUUCUUUCUUUCCUUUCUUUUCCUUCUUUUCCUCCCUUCCCUCCCUUCCCUUUCCUUCCCUUUCUUUCCCUUUCCUUCCCUUUCCUUCUCUCCUUCCUUCCCUCCUUCCUUCCCUCCUUCCUUCCUUCCUUCCUUCCUUCCUUCCUUC